rnacentral:snoRNA from 1 species
UGAGCACUUCAAAUGCUUUAUUUUCUCUUCAUAAAAACCUUAUGUGGUGACCUAAGAUUGAAGUUCUCCAUAGGAUGUAAUGGAUGCUCGAUAGUGCUAUGUUCUCCUGAGGAGAUAUAAGA